rnacentral:piRNA from 1 species
GUAGAGCCAGGGGCUUCAGAGAUGGC